UUGUAAAAUGUCGGCGAGCGGCGGACGGCUGAGUAACGCGUGGGAACGUACCCCAAAGUGAGGGAUAACGCAUCGAAAGGUGUGCUAAUACCGCAUAUGGUCUUCGGAUUAAAGCCUUCGGGCGCUUUGGGAACGGCCUGCGUAAGAUUAGAUAGUUGGUGGGGUAAUGGCUACCAAGUCGACGAUCUUUAACUGGUUUGAGAGGAUGAUCAGUCAGACUGGAACUGAGACACGGUCCAG
rnacentral:rRNA from 1 species